rnacentral:tRNA from 1 species
AAAAUCCGUCGAUUUUAUAUUUUAAAAUCAUGAGGGUUCAAGUCCCUCUAUCCCC